AGCUUUGCGCAGUGUCAUUACCGUAGCCUAUGAGGUCCAUCCGAGGCGCGGUUAUUGCUGAUUGAAAACUUUUCCCAAUACCCCGCGAGACGACUUGAAACAUAGUCGGCUUUGCAAUUUUUGUGGGCCCUGCUUAGGG
rnacentral:snRNA from 2 species